rnacentral:rRNA from 1 species
GACGAACGCUGGCGGCGUGCUUAACACAUGCAAGUCGAACGGAAAGGCCCUGCUUUUGUGGGGUGCUCGAGUGGCGAACGGGUGAGUAACACGUGAGUAACCUGCCCUUGACUUUGGGAUAACUUCAGGAAACUGGGGCUAAUACCGGAUAGGAGCUCCUGCUGCAUGGUGGGGGUUGGAAAGUUUCGGCGGUUGGGGAUGGACUCGCGGCUUAUCAGCUUGUUGGUGGGGUAGUGGCUUACCAAGGCUUUGACGGGUAGCCGGCCUGAGAGGGUGACCGGCCACAUUGGGACCGAGAUACGGCCCAGACUCCUACGGGAGGCAGCAGUGGAGAAUAUUGCACAAUGGGCGGAAGCCUGAUGCAGCAACGCCGCGUGCGGGAUGACGGCCUUCGGGUUGUAAACCGCUUUCGCCUGUGACGAAGCGUGAGUGACGGUAAUGGGUAAAGAAGCACCGGCUAACUACGUG